AGAACGAACGCUGGCGGCAGGCUUAACACAUGCAAGUCGAACGCCCCGCAAGGGGAGUGGCAGACGGGUGAGUAACGCGUGGGAAUCUACCUGGUUCUACGGAACAACACAGGGAAACUUGUGCUAAUACCGUAUACGCCCCAAGGGGGAAAGAUUUAUCGGUGCCAGAUGAGCCCGCGUAAGAUUAGCUAGUUGGUGGGGUAAUGGCCUACCAAGGCGACGACGGGUAGCCGGCCUGAGAGGGCGACCGGCCACACUGGGACUGAGACACGGCCCAGACUCCUACGGGAGGCAGCAGUGGGGAAUAUUGCGCAAUGGGCGAAAGCCUGACGCAGCGACGCCGCGUGAGGGAUGACGGCCUUCGGGUUGUAAACCUCUUUCAGCAGGGACGAAGCGAAAGUGACGGUACCUGCAGAAGAAGCGCCGGCCACUACGCGCCAGCAGCCGC
rnacentral:rRNA from 1 species